AUUGAACGCUGGCGGCAUGCCUUACACAUGCAAGUCGAACGGCAGCACGGGAGCAAUCCUGGUGGCGAGUGGCGAACGGGUGAGUAAUAUAUCGGAACGUGCCCAGUCGUGGGGGAUAACGUAGCGAAAGCUACGCUAAUACCGCAUACUAUCUAUGGAUGAAAGCGGGGGAUCGCAAGACCUCGCGCGAUUGGAGCGGCCGAUAUCAGAUUAGGUAGUUGGUGAGGUAAAGGCUCACCAAGCCGACGAUCUGUAGCUGGUUUGAGAGAACGACCAGCCACACUGGGACUGAGACACGGCCCAGACUCCUACGGGAGGCAGCAGUGGGGAAUUUUGGACAAUGGGCGAAAGCCUGAUCCAGCAAUGCCGCGUGAGUGAUGAAGGCCUUAGGGUUGUAAAGCUCUUUACCCGGGAUGAUAAUGACAGUACCGGAGAAUAAGCUCGGCUAACUCCGUGCCAGCAGCCG
rnacentral:rRNA from 1 species